CACCGGGAUGGGGAAUCCAGGAUGGCACCGAGGGACGGGAGCCGGAGAUGGCACCCACGGAGGAGACAGAGGGAUGGCGCGGCGGGACGGGAGCCCCGGAGAAUCCGUGGAAAAGAACGUGGGGUGUUGUCAAGGUGAAGUGAGGUUCUCACCCCUGGAGCUCGCUGCCCUUAAAUCUGGGACCAGGAUUACCCCAGUGGUGGGAAGUGCAGUGUGGGUGAGAACACUGAGUGUUUAUUUUGGUCUCUCCAAUAAUCCUCCUGCUGCAGAAAGAGACAAAAAUUAAUCCAGAGCACUCUGAUCUCUGUGCUGCUGCUAAGAUGGUCAUGAAACAGCCUGGAAUUUCACUGGAUAAAUUUCAUGUUUUGACACAUUAAUCAACAAUGUUUUACCUGAAUUCUCAAAAAAGCAAAUAAAUGCAAAAUAAACUGUUAA